AGCCCUGUAGCUCAACGGUAGAGCGGGUGAUUCACCUUAACUUGUCGUGCCACCCUAUUUUGGCGAAUGCUGGUGGAUCUACACCUUGUAUGGCCAGACGCAGGUUCGAACCCUGCCGGGGCUU
rnacentral:tRNA from 1 species